AGGUGAAGCGACUUAUUGUCUCCUUGUCCAUACGGUGAGAGCAGAGAUCAGUGUGGAGUCUCAGGGUGACGGGGUUUAUGGAACAGCGGAGCUUCUCAGGCUGAAUAGAAACUGGAUAUUUGUGUGCUUGGUCUUCCCUACGGCUCGGAGGAAGCUUACACUGCAGACGGAGUGAAAUACUACAUCAAUCACGUGACCCAGACGACCUCGUGGAGCCCUCCCGGGUUGAGCAGCGGCGCCCCAGAGCUGACGCCUCCGCCUCCGCCUCAGGAGACCUUAGAGGUGGAGGAAGAGCGUGAUGGAGAGGCAGCGGAGCAGAGACAGAACCCGACCACAGAGACGAAGAUGUAGGAGCAGAUCCUCCAUCCGUCCCCUCCUCC
ensembl:lncRNA